UACGUAGGGUGCAAGCGUUAAUCGGAAUUACUGGGCGUAAAGCGUGCGCAGGCGGUUUUUGUAAGUCAGAUGUGAAAUCCCCGGGCUUAACCUGGGAACUGCGUUUGAAACUACAAGGCUAGAGUGUGGCAGAGGGGGGUGGAAUUCCACGUGUAGCAGUGAAAUGCGUAGAGAUGUGGAGGAACACCGAUGGCGAAGGCAGCCCCCUGGGCCAACACUGACGCUCAGGCACGAAAGCGUGGGGAGCAAACAGG
rnacentral:rRNA from 1 species